rnacentral:snRNA from 1 species
GUGCUCGCUUCAGCAGCACAUAUACUAAAAUUGGAAUGUUACAGAGGAGAUUAGCAUGGCCCCUGCGCAAGGAUG